rnacentral:misc_RNA from 1 species
AAGUCGUAACAAGGUUUCCGUAGGUGAACCUGCGGAAGGAUCAUUAAACACAGUAGUUUUCUACUGAUUUGGGGGAGUGGAAAGUCCCAGUCUAACCACUGGAUCACGAGUAAACUCCCUUCUUCCACCCUUGUCUUUUGAGUACUUAUGUUUCCUUGGUGGGCUUGCCUGCCAAUAGGACAAUUAUACAACCUUUUUAAUUUUCAUUCAGCGUCUAAAUUAAUUAUAAUAAUUACAACUUUCAACAACGGAUCUCUUGGUUCUG